UACGUAGGAUCCGAGCGUUGUCCGGAUUUAUUGGGCGUAAAGGGCGCGUAGGCGGUUCGGCAAGUCUUCAGUGAAAUCUCUCGGCUCAACUGAGAGUCUGCUGGGGAAACUGCCGGGCUUGAGUGUGGGAGAGGAGAGUGGAAUUCCUGGUGUAGCGGUGAAAUGCGUAGAUAUCAGGAGGAACACCUGAGGCGAAAGCGGCUCUCUGGACCACAACUGACGCUGAGGCGCGAAAGCUAGGGGAGCAAACAGG
rnacentral:rRNA from 1 species